rnacentral:rRNA from 1 species
CACGUAGGGGGCAAGCGUUGUCCGGAUUUAUUGGGCGUAAAGAGCUCGUAGGCGGCUUAGUAAGUCGGGUGUGAAACCUCCAGGCUCAACCUGGAGACGCCACCCGAUACUGCUGUGGCUAGAGUCCGGUAGGGGAGACUGGAAUUCCUGGUGUAGCGGUGAAAUGCGCAGAUAUCAGGAGGAACACCGGUGGCGAAGGCGGGUCUCUGGGCCGAUACUGACGUGAGGAGCGAAAGCGUGGGGAGCGAACAGG